rnacentral:rRNA from 1 species
GUGGGGUGAUGGCCUACCAAGGGCGACGACGGGUAGCCGGCCUGAGAGGGCGACCGGCCACACUGGGACUGAGACACGGCCCAGACUCCUACGGGAGGCAGCAGUGGGGAAUAUUGCACAAUGGGCGGAAGCCUGAUGCAGCGACGCCGCGUGAGGGAUGACGGCCUUCGGGUUGUAAACCUCUUUCAGCAGGGACGAAGCGUAAGUGACGGUACCUGCAGAAGAAGCACCGGCCAACUACGUGCCAGCAGCCGCGGUAAGACGUAGGGUGCGAGCGUUGUCCGGAUUUAUUGGGCGUAAAGAGCUCGUAGGCGGCUUGUCGCGUCGACCGUGAAAACUUGGGGCUCAACCCCAAGCCUGCGGUCGAUACGGGCAGGCUAGAGUUCGGUAGGGGAGACUGGAAUUCCUGGUGUAGCGGUGAAAUGCGCAGAUAUCAGGAGGAACACCGGUGGCGAAGGCGGGUCUCUGGGCCGAUACUGACGCUGAGGAGCGAAAGCGUGGGGAGCGAACAGGAUUAGAUACCCUGGUAGUCCACGCUGUAAACGUUGGGCGCUAGGUGUGGGGGGCCUCUCCGGUUUCCUGUGCCGCAGCUAACGCAUUAAGCGCCCCGCCUGGGGAGUACGG